rnacentral:rRNA from 2 species
UGGGGAAUAUUGCGCAAUGGGGGAAACCCUGACGCAGCGACGCCGCGUGAGCGAUGAAGGCCUUCGGGUUGUAAAGCUCUGUCUUCCCUGACGAUAAUGACGGUAAGGGAGGAGGAAGCCACGGCUAACUACGUGCCAGCAGCCGCGGUAAUACGUAGGUGGCAAGCGUUGUCCGGAAUUACUGGGCGUAAAGGGUGCGUAGGCGGCUCUUUAAGUGGGGUGUGAAAUCCCUGGGCUCAACCCAGGAACUGCACUCCAAACUGGAGAGCUAGAGUGCAGGAGAGGAAAGCGGAAUUCCCAGUGUAGCGGUGAAAUGCGUAGAGAUUGGGAGGAACACCAGUGGCGAAGGCGGCUUUCUGGACUGUAACUGACGCUGAGGCACGAAAGCGUGGGGAGCAAACAGGAUUAGAUACCCUGGUAGUCCACGCUGUAAACGAUGGGUACUAGGUGUAGGGGGCGAAGCCCUCUGUGCCGCAGCUAACGCAUUAAGUACCCCGCCUGGGGAGUACGGUCGCAAGAUUA